rnacentral:ncRNA from 1 species
UGAUAGCUGUGAAGCGUGAGGUUGCUGCCGGCGCAAAAACAUAAGCGCAGGGCAGGUUUUCCGUGGAGCGAAUGUCAAGUUAGGAAACUGGCGACAA